GGGUUGUGAGGUUAAGCGACUAAGCGUACACGGUGGAUGCCCUGGCAGUCAGAGGCGAUGAAGGACGUGCUAAUCUGCGAUAAGCGUCGGUAAGGUGAUAUGAACCGUUAUAACCGGCGAUUUCCGAAUGGGGAAACCCAGUGUGAUUCGUCACACUAUCAUUAACUGAAUCCAUAGGUUAAUGAGGCGAACCGGGGGAACUGAAACAUCUAAGUACCCCGAGGAAAAGAAAUCAACCGAGAUUCCCCCAGUAGCGGCGAGCGAACGGGGAGGAGCCCAGAGCCUGAAUCAGUGUGUGUGUUAGUGGAAGCGUCUGGAAAGGCGCGCGAUACAGGGUGACAGCCCCGUACACAAAAAUGCACAUACUGUGAGCUCGAUGAGUAGGGCGGGACACGUGGUAUCCUGUCUGAAUAUGGGGGGACCAUCCUCCAAGGCUAAAUACUCCUGACUGACCGAUAGUGAACCAGUACCGUGAGGGAAAGGCGAAAAGAACCCCGGCGAGGGGAGUGAAAAAGAACCUGAAACCGUGUACGUACAAGCAGUGGGAGCACGCUUCGGCGUGUGACUGCGUACCUUUUGUAUAAUGGGUCAGCGACUUAUAUUCUGUAGCAAGGUUAACCGAAUAGGGGAGCCGAAGGGAAACCGAGUCUUAACUGGGCGUUAAGUUGCAGGGUAUAGACCCGAAACCCGGUGAUCUAGCCAUGGGCAGGUUGAAGGUUGGGUAACACUAACUGGAGGACCGAACCGACUAAUGUUGAAAAAUUAGCGGAUGACUUGUGGCUGGGGGUGAAAGGCCAAUCAAACCGGGAGAUAGCUGGUUCUCCCCGAAAGCUAUUUAGGUAGCGCCUCGUGAAUUCAUCUCCGGGGGUAGAGCACUGUUUCGGCAAGGGGGUCAUCCCGACUUACCAACCCGAUGCAAACUGCGAAUACCGGAGAAUGUUAUCACGGGAGACACACGGCGGGUGCUAACGUCCGUCGUGAAGAGGGAAACAACCCAGACCGCCAGCUAAGGUCCCAAAGUCAUGGUUAAGUGGGAAACGAUGUGGGAAGGCCCAGACAGCCAGGAUGUUGGCUUAGAAGCAGCCAUCAUUUAAAGAAAGCGUAAUAGCUCACUGGUCGAGUCGGCCUGCGCGGAAGAUGUAACGGGGCUAAACCAUGCACCGAAGCUGCGGCAGCGACACUAUGUGUUGUUGGGUAGGGGAGCGUUCUGUAAGCCUGUGAAGGUGUACUGUGAGGUAUGCUGGAGGUAUCAGAAGUGCGAAUGCUGACAUAAGUAACGAUAAAGCGGGUGAAAAGCCCGCUCGCCGGAAGACCAAGGGUUCCUGUCCAACGUUAAUCGGGGCAGGGUGAGUCGACCCCUAAGGCGAGGCCGAAAGGCGUAGUCGAUGGGAAACAGGUUAAUAUUCCUGUACUUGGUGUUACUGCGAAGGGGGGACGGAGAAGGCUAUGUUGGCCGGGCGACGGUUGUCCCGGUUUAAGCGUGUAGGCUGGUUUUCCAGGCAAAUCCGGAAAAUCAAGGCUGAGGCGUGAUGACGAGGCACUACGGUGCUGAAGCAACAAAUGCCCUGCUUCCAGGAAAAGCCUCUAAGCAUCAGGUAACAUCAAAUCGUACCCCAAACCGACACAGGUGGUCAGGUAGAGAAUACCAAGGCGCUUGAGAGAACUCGGGUGAAGGAACUAGGCAAAAUGGUGCCGUAACUUCGGGAGAAGGCACGCUGAUAUGUAGGUGAAGCGACUUGCUCGUGGAGCUGAAAUCAGUCGAAGAUACCAGCUGGCUGCAACUGUUUAUUAAAAACACAGCACUGUGCAAACACGAAAGUGGACGUAUACGGUGUGACGCCUGCCCGGUGCCGGAAGGUUAAUUGAUGGGGUUAGCGCAAGCGAAGCUCUUGAUCGAAGCCCCGGUAAACGGCGGCCGUAACUAUAACGGUCCUAAGGUAGCGAAAUUCCUUGUCGGGUAAGUUCCGACCUGCACGAAUGGCGUAAUGAUGGCCAGGCUGUCUCCACCCGAGACUCAGUGAAAUUGAACUCGCUGUGAAGAUGCAGUGUACCCGCGGCAAGACGGAAAGACCCCGUGAACCUUUACUAUAGCUUGACACUGAACAUUGAGCCUUGAUGUGUAGGAUAGGUGGGAGGCUUUGAAGUGUGGACGCCAGUCUGCAUGGAGCCGACCUUGAAAUACCACCCUUUAAUGUUUGAUGUUCUAACGUUGGCCCCUGAUCGGGGUUGCGGACAGUGUCUGGUGGGUAGUUUGACUGGGGCGGUCUCCUCCUAAAGAGUAACGGAGGAGCACGAAGGUUGGCUAAUCCUGGUCGGACAUCAGGAGGUUAGUGCAAUGGCAUAAGCCAGCUUGACUGCGAGCGUGACGGCGCGAGCAGGUGCGAAAGCAGGUCAUAGUGAUCCGGUGGUUCUGAAUGGAAGGGCCAUCGCUCAACGGAUAAAAGGUACUCCGGGGAUAACAGGCUGAUACCGCCCAAGAGUUCAUAUCGACGGCGGUGUUUGGCACCUCGAUGUCGGCUCAUCACAUCCUGGGGCUGAAGUAGGUCCCAAGGGUAUGGCUGUUCGCCAUUUAAAGUGGUACGCGAGCUGGGUUUAGAACGUCGUGAGACAGUUCGGUCCCUAUCUGCCGUGGGCGCUGGAGAACUGAGGGGGGCUGCUCCUAGUACGAGAGGACCGGAGUGGACGCAUCACUGGUGUUCGGGUUGUCAUGCCAAUGGCACUGCCCGGUAGCUAAAUGCGGAAGAGAUAAGUGCUGAAAGCAUCUAAGCACGAAACUUGCCCCGAGAUGAGUUCUCCCUGACUCCCUGAGAGUCCUGAAGGAACGUUGAAGACGACGACGUUGAUAGGCCGGGUGUGUAAGCGCAGCGAUGCGUUGAGCUAACCGGUACUAAUGAACCGUGAGGCUUAACCUUACAACGCCGAAGCUGUU
rnacentral:rRNA from 1 species